UACAGAGGUCCCAAGCGUUGUUCGGAUUCACUGGGCGUAAAAGGUGCGUAGGCGGUCGGGUAAGUCUGAUGUGAAAUCUCCAAGCUCAACUUGGAAAUGGCAUCGGAUACUAUUCGGCUCGAGGAAUGGAGGGGAGACUGGAAUACUUGGUGUAGCAGUGAAAUGCGUAGAUAUCAAGUGGAACACCAGUGGCGAAGGCGAGUCUCUGGACAUUUCCUGACGCUGAGGCACGAAAGCCAGGGGAGCAAACGGG
rnacentral:rRNA from 1 species